AGAAUACACAGAUGACAAUGCUCUGAUUCCUAAGAACUCCUCAGUAAUUGUUAGAAGAGUCCCUGUUAGAGGAGGUAAAACUACCAGCAAAACACAAGUUCUAACUCGAACUGAGCCAGCAAGUGGAACAUCCAAAGCAAUUGAGGACUCUUCUGCACCCACUCCUCUGGCCCAGCUCAUUAAGUGUCCCGUAAAGAGUAGUUCCCAGUCUGGGAAGAUAGCAGGGGAGUCCCUCAAUGUAAUGUUGCAUUAUUGCUCAUCUUCAAGACACAAAGAAGCAGCACUUCAGGAGCUGUUUACUGUUUCUCAGACCUUUUAUUAAUUUUGUGUUGGAGACUGACAUAAUAUUCGCAGAAUAAUUUAACUGGCUGCAAGUCAUGGACAUUUCAGGGGGGGCUUGCAACAGCCAAAAUAGAAACGUUUCUGUAACACGGACAAUUGCGUGGCUACUGUUGGUUUCUAGUCACUGCAGUUAUAGAUCCACUCUCUGAAAGCUGCACAGUUUCAUAACUUGUAGUCUAUGGAGAGUGGACAACACAACCUAAUUUUUUUGAAUGCAGACUGUGUAAAUUGUGUAAAUGUGCCUAAUUGUUUGCGGGAAUAUACCAAUGUGUGAGUGCAGUGUAUUAGCAGAGGUGACCUUCUGAAGCUGUUGUAAUGACAUGGUUUGCUAUGGAACUGCUUGUGUUUUCUUCUCAACAAUGUGUGACUUUGUCU